UUAAGCAUAUCAAUAAGCGGAGGAAAAGAAACCAACAGGGAUUGCCCCAGUAACGGCGAGUGAAGCGGCAACAGCUCAAAUUUGAAAUCUGGCCCCUAGGGUCCGAGUUGUAAUUUGUAGAGGAUGCUUUUGGUGAGGUGCCGCCCGAGUUCCCUGGAACGGGACGCCGCAGAGGGUGAGAGCCCCGUCUGGCUGGCCACCGAGCCUAUGUAAAGCUCCUUCGACGAGUCGAGUAGUUUGGGAAUGCUGCUCAAAAUGGGAGGUAUAUGUCUUCUAAAGCUAAAUAUUGGCCAGAGACCGAUAGCGCACAAGUAGAGUGAUCGAAAGAUGAAAAGCACCUUGAAAAGAGGGUUAAACAGUACGUGAAAUUGUUGAAAGGGAAGCGCUUGUGACCAGACUUGGGCGCGGCGGAUCAUCCGGGGUUCUCCCCGGUGCACUUCGCCGCGUUCAGGCCAGCAUCAGUUCGGCGCGGGGGAAAAAGGCUUCGGGAACGUGGCUCCUCCGGGAGUGUUAUAGCCCGUUGCAUAAUACCCUGCGCUGGACUGAGGACCGCGCAUCUGCAAGGAUGCUGGCGUAAUGGUCACCAGCGACC
rnacentral:rRNA from 1 species